rnacentral:rRNA from 1 species
UUCCGGUUGAUCCUGCCGGACCCCACUGCUAUCGAGGUGGGACUAAGCCAUGCUAGUCGAACGAACUUAGGUUAGUGGCACACUGCUCAGUAACACGUAGCUAACCUACCCUUAGGACGUGGACGCCCCCGAGAAAUUGGGGCUAAUCCGCGAUAGAUGUAUUGUCCUGGAAUGGUAUUACGUCUAAAGGUAUCCCAUACAUGUUUGGUAUACGCCUAAGGAUGGGGCUGCGGCCGAUCAGGCUGUUGGUGAGGUAAUGGCUCACCAAACCUUUGACCGGUACGGGCCAUGAGAGUGGUAGCCCGGAGAUGGACACUGAGACAAGGGUCCAGGCCCUAAGGGGCGCAGCAACCGCGAAACCUCCACAAUGCACUCACGUGCGAUGAGGCUAUCUCGAGUGCCACCUGAUGAAGGUGGCUUUUCCUAGGUCUUCAAAGCCUUGGGAAUAAGAGGGGGGCAAGACUGGUGUCAGCCGCCGCGGUAACACCAGCCCCUCGAGUGGUGGGGAUGAUUAUUUGGCCUAAAGCGUCCGUAGCCGGCCGAGCAAGUCUUCCGUUAAAUCCAGCGUCUCAAGCGUUGGACUGCGGGAGAUACUACACGGCUAGAGAGUGGGAGAGGUCAGCGGUAUUCUGGGGGUAGGGGCGAAAUCCUUUGAUCCCCGGAGGACCACCAGUGGCGAAGGCUGCUGACUAGAACACGUCUGACGGUCAGGGACGAAAGCUGGGGUAGCGAACCGGAUUAGAUACCCGGGUAGUCCCAGCC